UACGUAGGGUGCAAGCGUUGUCCGGAAUUAUUGGGCGUAAAGAGCUCGUAGGCGGUUUGUUGCGUCGGCUGUGAAAACCUGAGGCUCAACCUCGGGCCUGCAGUGGGUACGGGCAGACUAGAGUGCGGUAGGGGAGAUUGGAAUUCCUGGUGUAGCGGUGGAAUGCGCAGAUAUCAGGAGGAACACCGAUGGCGAAGGCAGAUCUCUGGGCCGUAACUGACGCUGAGGAGCGAAAGCAUGGGGAGCGAACAGG
rnacentral:rRNA from 1 species